rnacentral:rRNA from 1 species
UUUGUAAUGAAAGCUUUUCUUCGGAACAUUGGAUACAGGUGGUGCAUGGUCGUCGUCAGCUCGUGUCGUGAGAUGUUGGGUUAAGUCCCGCAACGAGCGCAACCCUUGUUAUUAGUUGCCAGCAUUUAGUUGGGCACUCUAAUGAGACUGCCGGUGAUAAACCGGAGGAAGGUGGGGACGACGUCAGAUCAUCAUGCCCCUUAUGACCUGGGCAACACACGUGCUACAAUGGGAAGUACAACGAGUCGCAAACCGGCGACGGCAAGCUAAUCUCUUAAAACUUCUCUCAGUUCGGACUGGAGUCUGCAACUCGACUCCACGAAGGCGGAAUCGCUAGUAAUCGCGAAUCAGCAUGUCGCGGUGAAUACGUUCCCGGGUCUUGUACACACCGCCCGUCAAAUCAUGGGAGUCGGAAGUACCCAAAGUCGCUUGGCUAACUUUUAGAGGCCGGUGCCUAAGGU